rnacentral:rRNA from 1 species
UACGGAGGGUGCAAGCGUUAUUCGGAUUCACUGGGUUUAAAGGGUGCGUAGGCGGGCAGGUAAGUCAGUGGUGAAAUCUCCAAGCUUAACUGGGAAACUGCCUUUGAUACUAUCUGUCUUGAAUACUGUGGAGGUGAGCGGAAUAUGUCAUGUAGCGGUGAAAUGCUUAGAUAUGGCAUAGAACACCAAUUGCGAAGGCAGCUCACUACACAGCCAUUGACGCUGAGGCACGAAAGCGUGGGGAUCAAACAGG